CUUCCACUCCACCACUGGUGGCAGCAGUCAGCAGCAGCUGUGAGCAGGGGAGCCUGUCCUCAGGGAAUAUGCAAAUGUAUGACCAUCCUGGUGCUGGAGGUAUUGGGGUCACUGCCAGUGGCUUAUGCUUUGGUCCCAGUGGCAGUGGCCAGCAGUGGUGGCAGCUGCAGAUGGGGGAUAUCAAUGUGGUUCCAGUGAUGUUGCUAUUCAGGAGCUGUUCUGCCUCAAGCAAAAAACCAGCCAUCUAGAAACCAGGGAAGGUCCCUCACCAAGAACUCAACUAUGUUGCCACCUCAAUCUUGGACUUUCAGCUUCCAUAAAGACCUGUGCCACAGUGACUAUUUCUAGAGCGCCACCUGAAAACUCUAGAACAGGGAGAAGACAUCGCAAGGGUGCUGACAACCCACUCAGCAGUGAGGAAGUAACAGCUGUGGGAACUUUCAAAAUCAGAGCAAUGUUGAUCACCCUGCAUGUGCAAACCAAAUAUAGUGACUAGUCAAAUCUAAUGACUAGAAUGAAAUUUCUCAUGUGGAAUGGAAAACUUUUGGUCCAUAUCAAUUCUAUAAACUGACAGGCUGAAAUACCCAAUCAGUCUAUAUUCUGAAAUCUACUGAGUCAAAGAAGCAAAUCCUGAAAUAGCAAACCACUAUAAUUAGGUAUAGAUUCACUCCAUAAUAGGACCCUAUAAACAAUGAAAAGAGAUUGUGUAAUUUGGAAGAAAAUGUCAUUCAAUUAUAUAUAAGGGAAGCAAACUGUGUUUGGAUUUAGAAAGCAAGUUAUUUGCCAGGACAUAAGACUAACAAUUUAUUAGGAUAAUUACUGCAUAAUUUAUAUGGCUUGAAGGUUAAGGAUUUUUAAAUAAAGUUAGUUAGCAUAAGAUAUUUCAAUUGCUUAACUUAGUUAUAAUCCCUUCUCUGCCCUCCCACUUAUCUGCUGUGUGAACCUGGGCAAUUAACUUUCCUAUGUUAAGUUGUCACAUCUUAAAAUGAAAUAGUAGCAAUUUACCUCAUAUUUUACUUAUUGACCUAUAUGAUGCCAAGUGCAAGGCUUCUAAGCACACCACAAAUAUUAAUUUCUUUAUUCUUUGUAACAAUUCCCUGAGCUGAGAAACAUUUUUAUCUCCUCUUUAGAGAUGAAGAAACUGGGGCAAAGAGCAGUUUGGUUAUCUCACCCAAGAUCACACAACUAGUAAGGUGUGUAGCAGGGCUUCCUUCCCAGGGUGUCUGGCUCUGAGGUUGAGAUUUAGUCACCUCACUAUGCAUAGUGGACAGAAUACUGUUGUCAUCUUAGCAAACACAGAACAGGAUUGCAAUUGCAAAUGGCUAACUAAAGAAAUAAGAAUGAAAAGAAAUGGAACUUGAACACACCUGUCCCAGGAAGAUGACAUAAUGUGGAGCCUCAUGAUAUCACUCCAAUUUGUACCAUGCAACUUGGGGAAUUAUUUUUGCAGGAACAAAAAGAAGAGCUGUCUUUUGUAAGUUAGAAAGCUUUUGGAAGAGAUUAACACCAGGAGUUAUUAAAGGGCAGGCAAGAGGGAGAGACAUACCAGGGGAGUGGUAUGGGAAGGAGAGAGAGGACUGUGGCUCCUGGAGGUGAAUGGUACCCAUGCUGUGCUUCAUGGUGCAAUCUCAGUCAGGCUGGCUACUUCCUGGGAUAAGAGAGCAAGAAUUUCGGCAGUGAGUUGCCAGCUUUGGCAAGGAUUCCUGAGCCUCACAUGCCAUCUGGAAGGAAAGAACUUCUCAACCUCAAGGGGCCACCAAGACCCAAGACUAUAAAGUCAUCAGGGAUAUUAUGAGAGGGAGAUUAAAGGUACUUCUCCAUCUUCUGGGAAAUUGAAGAGAUGAAAGAAUGGAGAGGUAUGAUGCUGAGAGGCAGAAGGGACUCCAAUAAUGAUUGAGGUGGAAUUUACUGUCUAUUCCCUAUGACAGCCGUCCCCAGCAUUUUUGACACCAGGGACAGGUUUCAUGGAAGGCAAUCUUCCCACAGAUGUGGGAGAGGGGUGGGAAGGAUUCAAGUGCAUUACAUUUAUUGUGCACUUUACUUCUGUUAUGAUUACAUCCUCACCAUAAUGUAGAAUCAGUGGGAGCCCUGAGCUUGUUUUCCUGCAACUAGACGGUCCCAUCUGGGGGUGAUGGGAGGCAGUGACAGAUUAUCAGGCAUUAGAUUUUCAUAAGGAGUAUGCAACCUAGAUCCCUCACAUGCACAGUUCAUAAUAGGGUUCGUACUCCCAUAAGAACCUAAUGCUGCUGCUGAUCUGACAGGAGGCAGGGCUCAGCUUCACUUACCCACUGCUCACCUCCUGCUGUGUGGCCUGCUUCCUAACAGGCCACAGACUGGUACUGGUCUGUGGCUCAGGGGUUGGGGACUCCUGCCCUAUCACGUAGGUUCAGAGUUGAAAUCAAAUUAAAUUAAAGGCAAUAAGGUGGUAUUUCUCACACCUCUGGAUGUAGGGACUAGGAUGCAUACCUGUUACAAAGAUGCUGUGAAAGUUCAAAAGAAGGAUUAGUACCUUCUAUCUGAAAGAGAGGGAUGCAGAUAUUUCAGCUAGGUCUUGAAGGCUGGGGGGUGACCUAUGGCAGAGACAAAGGAGGAUGUUCCAGACAGAAAAACAAGCAGAAGCAAAGGUAGAGGGGAAGAAUAUAUGCAAACUCCUUGGGAGAUGAGGAAUAUUCUAGAUUAUCCAGAGAAGGGGGGAUACAAAAAUAUAGGACCAUGUGAAUACUGAAUGUUUGAUUAUAUUAAUGAAUUGAUGUUUGGGGAGUUUACAGAAUGUACUGUAUUUACAUGUAACAAUUUUAGACAAUAUCUAGAAGUUUCAUACAGAAAUGUUUACAACACAAUGGUGGAAAGUUUGGGGUCUGGGAGAAACCAGUGGAAGUACAGAUGAAAUAAGAUAGACCAUGCUGUGAUCGUAGCUGAAGCAAGAUGAUGGAUUGUAAGGGUAACAUGAUGAAAUCAGGACAAGGCAGCUGCUUCUCACUCUUCUCUCCUUGAAAACAUAAUCCACCCCAAAGAGGCCCAACCUCUUGGUUUUUAUUGCCAAGUUGUAGGCUUUUUGACCCUUGGAACUGUAAGCACCUAUUUAUGAAUUUAACUCAGUAGUCUCCCAGGAGGUAUACAGAAGACAGUCCCAAGGAGCAAACAUUUAUCUCUCAAGAAGAUGAAAAGAGUUUAGCUAUUCUUUCUCCUACUUUACUGUAUAACUUUGUGUGAAAUUCUGUCCAGACUGCAGUCAUUUUUGUGCCGUCUUAUGUACAUAAAUCUGCUAGUGCUUACCCAAUAAUAAAUUGUGCUCUUGCUUUAUUCUGUAUUGGUACAGAGGGGUCAGGGCCAGGAUUGCCUCAUUUCUCCAAAAGAAUAUAUGAGAGUUUAUUAAUAAUAUUUUCUCUAUAUUUGUACAUAUUUGAAAUUCUCUAUAGUAAAACAUUUUUUAAAAUGAUAUUUGAUCAUUUCAGAUACUCCAGCAAGAUAAGAAUCAAGAAAUUGCCAUCAAAUUUGGCAACUAGGAGGGCAAUGGUGACCUUGGAGGAAAGAGGAGAAUGGGAAAAUGAAAGCUUUACUGAAAAGGAGUCAAUGGGAGGAGAUAGAGAAAGCAAUGAGUACAGAUUGCUCCUUUUCAAGACAUUUGGUAGAGAGAAAGAAGGGAGAAGGUGAAGUAGAUGGAAGGAUUCUUUUAGAGUAGGACAAAUCAAUUUGGGAGAAUUCUCAGUGAAAAAUGAGCCUGAAAAAUGGAGAUUAAAGCUGUAGUCUAGAAGAAGAAUAAUUGAUGGGCGAUAUCCCAGAAGAGCUGUGAGAAGAUGAGAUGCAGGACUUUUCUCCCGUCUAUUUUCCAAAAGUAAUCAAAGCAACCUUUUGGUUUUGGUUUUGCCCAGUUUAGAAAUAUUAUCACAAGUAUAAUUCAUAUACAAUGAAUAAAAUUUAGAAAAUACAGAUAAGUAACAUUUUUAAGCAUGGGUAAUCUCAUUUUGCUAAAGGUCUCUCCAGGCCAUCUGCUAUCUGUUUGCUUAUGUAUAUGUUAACAUGUACACAAACAAACACACUAAUGCAAUCAUAUUAUGCAGACAACUCUGCAGUCCAAUUUUUUUCAUGUAAUGAAUUGUGAAAUCCUUCCUAUAUCAAUAAGCACAAUAAUCUUUUUAAAAAAAAAAACUCUAGUUGUUAUCACCUUCCCUGCUUAAUAAAGUAUUUCACUGGCCAAAUACUAUAUUUAGAAAUAAAAAAUCCAAUCUGCAUAAUUUGAUCUACAGCCCUGAGUGAUCUGGCCUCAGCCUCACCUGACAUCACUUUAUGCCUUGAUCAUUUUGUUCCAAACACGCUUUCUUGCAGUUCCUCGAACUCACAAACUUUCUUGAUUCUCUGUUCCUCUGCCCAGAUUGUCCUUUUUGAGACUCUUUGCAUGGCUAAGUCCUGAUCCUCUGGGUCUCUCUUCUCUGUAUAGUCAAAUGAAAGUCCAGUUUCCUGAAUGGUGACCAUGGAUCCUGACUUACCUGGCAUAGUCUGGUUUUCACCUGUUUUUCCAAUAUAAUACUUAAUGAUGCCUCCUUCCACUCUCAAGAGUGCCCCAGUUUGGAUAAUGAAUUACAGAGUUACUCCACUCAUAGCCCCUGGAUCUUUCCCUUCACAGCAGUCAUUGCAAUUUGUAAUUAUGAAAUUGUCUCUUCAUUUACCUAUUUGCUGUGUGUCAUUUAUUAGCCCAUAAUCUCAGUAACAGUGGGAAAAAAAUUGGUAUCCACUACAUAGAUCUAGUCCUUGGGCUUUGACCCUUGCUAAACAUUGGUAAACGUAGGUGGAGCAUUAAAUGGGACAGCCUUGAUAAAUUAGACUGAGGGGAGUUGGGGAAGAGGUGCAGGAGACAGAAGCUGGGCUGAAGUGACCUGAGGAAAGUGAAAAUGUGUAGGAAUUCCACAGAUAGGAGAAGCAAUUGAUUUUUAUAGUCACUGUUAAAAUUUACUUAUCUGUUUCUGGAGAGAAUGUGGAGAAAUAGGAACACUUUUACACUGUUGGGGGGAGUGUAAGUUAGUUCAACCAUUGUGGAAGACAGUGUGGGA
rnacentral:lncRNA from 10 species